UACGUAGGGGGCUAGCGUUGUCCGGAAUCAUUGGGCGUAAAGAGCGUGUAGGCGGUCCGGUAAGUCCGCUGUGAAAGUCGGGGGCUCAACCCUCGAAUGCCGGUGGAUACUGGCGGGCUAGAGUGCGGAAGAGGCGAGUGGAAUUCCUGGUGUAGCAGCGAAAUGCGUAGAUAUCAGGAGGAAUACCGAUGGCGAAGGCAGGUCUCUGGGCUGACACUGACGCUCAUGCACGAAAGCGUGGGGAGCAAACAGG
rnacentral:rRNA from 1 species